GUGCCAGCAGCCGCGGUAAUACCGGCAGCUCAAGUGAUGUCCCAUAUUAUUGGGCCUAAAGCGUCCGUAGCUGGCCGACCAAGUCUCCCGGGAAAUCCACCCGCCCAACUACUGGGCGUCCGGCGGAAACUACAAGGCUUGGGACCGGAAGGCUCGAGGGGUACGUCCGGGGUAGGAGUGAAAUCCCGUAAUCCCGCACGGACCACCGAUGGCGAAAGCACCUCGAGAAGACGGCUCCGACGGUGAGGGACGAAAGCCAGGGUCUCGAACCGGAUUAGAUACCCCAGUAGUCC
rnacentral:rRNA from 1 species